GUUCUGCCUGGCCGCUGAGUGGUGGAUUCGGCUGCUUUCAAACCUCGCCGGCCGCAACUGAGAAAGAGCGGGCGGGGUGUAGCUGCUUUCUCAAACAGCGGAAGGAAGAGCUCAGAAGUAUUUUGGAAAUCGGCUGGGAGGCAGCCUAGUUUUUAAGCUUGUUUACUCGGAAGUAAGCCUCGUUGAAUUUAAUAGAGCUUUACUUCCAAAUUGGCGGUUGUUUUAAUCCGCUCUCCUGUUCAGUGGGUUGGCAGAAAUGCUUUUCUAAAGGAAAAGAUCUCGUACUCUUACUUUUUUAAAGGAAAAGAGUUCUGGUCGAUCUCUUACUUUUUUAUUGGCUUUGGAGUAGAGUUUUUACGAUGUUGUGUGCAUAACCUGAAAAGAAGCGUACUAGAGAGCUGUCGGAGGUCGUGGGAAGCUGCUGCUAGUAGGAUGGGUCCGUUGCAGGGGAGGAAGGUGAUUCCCUUUUCCACAGAAAAGGCAGAAAUGAAAGUUCCCUUCCACAUUUGGCGGUAUCGCAAUAAUGUAGAAGUGCAAAUGUGUUGUUUAUGAAUUCCUUCGCAAAAAGAACAUCCAAGAAGAGUUUGAGAUUUCAGAUAAUGAGAAGGAAAGAAAGAGGAUGGCAGGGUUAGAAAACAAACUUGUUCCAGAGUCAGAGUCUAACUUGUUUCAGAUGUACAAAGCUGAGGGGUGCUGAAAAACUAUAUCAUGAUUAAAUAAACUUUUUGUUAUUA